AGAGUUUGAUCCUGGCUCAGGAUGAACGCUAGCGACAGGCUUAACACAUGCAAGUCGAGGGGCAGCAUGAUUUGUAGCAAUACAGAUUGAUGGCGACCGGCGCACGGGUGAGUAACGCGUAUGCAACUUACCUAUCAGAGGGGGAUAGCCCGGCGAAAGUCGGAUUAAUACCCCAUAAAACAGGGGUCCCGCAUGGGAAUAUUUGUUAAAGAUUCAUCGCUGAUAGAUAGGCAUGCGUUCCAUUAGGCAGUUGGCGGGGUAACGGCCCACCAAACCGACGAUGGAUAGGGGUUCUGAGAGGAAGGUCCCCCACAUUGGUACUGAGACACGGACCAAACUCCUACGGGAGGCAGCAGUGAGGAAUAUUGGUCAAUGGACGCAAGUCUGAACCAGCCAUGCCGCGUGCAGGAUGACGGCUCUAUGAGUUGUAAACUGCUUUUGUACGAGGGUAAACGCAGAUACGUGUAUCUGUCUGAAAGUAUCGUACGAAUAAGGAUCGGCUAACUCCGUGCCAGCAGCCGCGGUAAUACGGAGGAUCCAAGCGUUAUCCGGAUUUAUUGGGUUUAAAGGGUGCGUAGGCGGUUUGAUAAGUUAGAGGUGAAAUUUCGGGGCUCAACCCUGAACGUGCCUCUAAUACUGUUGAGCUAGAGAGUAGUUGCGGUAGGCGGAAUGUAUGGUGUAGCGGUGAAAUGCUUAGAGAUCAUACAGAACACCGAUUGCGAAGGCAGCUUACCAAACUAUAUCUGACGUUGAGGCACGAAAGCGUGGGGAGCAAACAGGAUUAGAUACCCUGGUAGUCCACGCAGUAAACGAUGAUAACUCGUUGUCGGCGAUACACAGUCGGUGACUAAGCGAAAGCGAUAAGUUAUCCACCUGGGGAGUACGUUCGCAAGAAUGAAACUCAAAGGAAUUGACGGGGGCCCGCACAAGCGGAGGAACAUGUG
rnacentral:rRNA from 1 species